GGCAGUGUGGUUCAGUGGAAAGAAUGCUGGCUCUGAAACCAGAGGACCUAGAUUCAAUGCCUAACUCUGCUA
rnacentral:tRNA from 1 species